rnacentral:rRNA from 1 species
UACGUAGGGGUCGAGCGUUGUCCGGAUUUAUUGGGCGUAAAGGGUGGGCAGGUGGCCGGUGAUGUGCCGUGUGAAAGCGCCGAAGUAAUGUCGGCGAGGUCGCGGUAGACACAUCGGCUUGAGGCAGUGAGGGGCGGUGGAAUUCCCGGUGUAGUGGUGAAUGCGUAGAUAUCGGGAGGAACACCAGUGGCGAGGGCGGCUCGCUGGGCCGGUCCUGACGCUGAGACGCGAAGGCGUGGGAGCGAACGGG